rnacentral:rRNA from 1 species
AUACGGAGGGGGCUAGCGUUGUUCGGAAUUACUGGGCGUAAAGCGCGUGUAGGCGGAUCGUUAAGUCAGGGGUGAAAGCCCGGGGCUCAACCCCGGAACUGCCCUUGAUACUGGCGAUCUCGAGUCCGGAAGAGGUGGGCGGAAUUCCCGGUGUAGAGGUGAAAUUCGUAGAUAUCGGGAGGAACACCAGUGGCGAAGGCGGCUCACUGGUCCGGUACUGACGCUGAGACGCGAAAGCGUGGGGAGCAAACAGGAUUAGAAACCCCAGUAGUCC